UACGAAGGGGGCUAGCGUUGUUCGGAAUUACUGGGCGUAAAGGGCGCGUAGGCGGCUGUGCAAGUCAGAUGUGAAAGCCCUGGGCUCAACCCAGGAGGUGCAUUUGAUACUGCAUGGCUAGAGUGUCGGAGAGGAUGGUGGAAUUCCCAGUGUAGAGGUGAAAUUCGUAGAUAUUGGGAAGAACACCGGUGGCGAAGGCGACCAUCUGGACGACAACUGACGCUGAGGCGCGAAAGCGUGGGGAGCAAACAGG
rnacentral:rRNA from 1 species